rnacentral:lncRNA from 1 species
UCGAUACAGUAGCAUUUUGUCUCUGAUAUGAUUAGUAUUUUAAUCACUCAAAGAUAAUGUGAUAAGAUAGAUGACAUUUCUUGAUAUGAAAUAAUCUUAUUGAUGAAUUUAUUUUUAAAUUUUCUAAAGAGCUCAUUGGCUUAUUAACUGGUCCAAGCGUGUCACCAAAUGUGUGGAGUCCCUCUAACGUCUCAGUCACGUCGUCUCUCGACUCUCGAGCCGCAACGUACAAACAUUACGGUCGUCGUUAAUAUUAACUGGUAACCGGUAGUUAAUCGGUACGCGUUUCGCUAUUUAAA